rnacentral:rRNA from 1 species
CAACGAAUAGAAUCCAUCCAUCCACGCAACGAACAGGGGUGUGAUACAAGAAUCGAAUUCAACCACAAGAUAAACAGCAGCUACAAGAGAAGAAAAACAACAGCCGAGCGUGGCGACCGGCUGGAUAAGCGGCUUGGCCUUGGCGUCCCCACGCACGACCACGGCCGGCUUCUCCGUCGAGCACGGCGGCGCGGCGCUUUCCGACGUGUGGCGCCGCUGUUGCCCUGCUGCAAGAUCGACACGAACCCGCUCGCCCGCCACGCGUGGUUCAGAGGAGAGUGAGACUGUGCUUCGGAGGAGUAUGAGACGAGGGAGCCGGCGUUGUAGAUCGAAGGAAGAUGGCCAGCGGCGCAGACCGGAGAAGGAGGGCCGGCGGCGCAAAUCGCGGGAGAGGAGAGACGGGGAGAGGAGCCGUACGAGAGAGAUAGGGCUGCGCGAGCGCGAGGAGAAGAGCGGUUCCGCCUGGUCCGCUCGAUUUGGAGGUCUCACCUGUUCCGGAUCUGGC